AAUCCAUGAUGAGGGCAUGAUUUCAUUAGCUCCUUAAAUCAUUAUCAUGCUUCGAAGAGAGAUUUUUCUUAUGUCUUCCUAAAACAGGUAAUUUGGUUCCUAAGUUG